rnacentral:lncRNA from 1 species
GUCUAAUCAGAGACGGAGUUUGUAUCGCAAAAGCUAAGAUGCCAAAAAUAGAACCUGCUUCAGUUUCCAGCCUGCCUGGGGUCCUGAGGUAGAUUACGAGCUGAACAGCACCAGUGCAAGGAGAUGUUUCCAGACAAUCAGCCUGCUUAUACACAGGGCAUUAAGUUUCCAGAAACGUGAAACAUUGCCCAAUCAAAAUGGCUUCCUCUUUAAAUAAAGCUUACGUUGUUGGAGGCAGCAUUCACAGUUCCGAAUAGCAAUAAUGACCUCUGCUUGCAGGGCAUGUUGUCG